GUUAAGCGACUAAGCGUACACGGUGGAUGCCCUGGCAGUCAGAGGCGAUGAAGGGCGUGCUAAUCUGCGAUAAGCGCCGGUAAGGUGAUAUGAACCGUUAUAACCGGCGAUACCCGAAUGGGGAAACCCAGUGUGAUUCGUCACACUAUCAUUAACUGAAUCCAUAGGUUAAUGAGGCGAACCGGGGGAACUGAAACAUCUAAGUACCCCGAGGAAAAGAAAUCAACCGAGAUUCCCCCAGUAGCGGCGAGCGAACGGGGAGGAGCCCAGAGCCUGAAUCAGCAUGUGUGUUAGUGGAAGCGUCUGGAAAGGCGCGCGAUACAGGGUG
rnacentral:rRNA from 1 species